AGUGAACGCUGGCGGUAGGCCUAACACAUGCAAGUCGAACGGCAGCACAGGAGAGCUUGCUCUCUGGAUGGCGAGUGGCGGACGGGUGAGGAAUACAUCGGAAUCUACUCUGUCGUGGGGGAUAACGUCGGGAAACUUACGCUAAUACCGCAUACGACCUACGGGUGAAAGCAGGGGAUCUUCGGACCUUGCGCGAUUGAAUGAGCGGAUGUCGGAUUAGCUAGUUGGCGGGGUAAAGGCCCACCAAGGCGACGAUCCGUAGCUGGUCUGAGAGGAUGAUCAGCCACACUGGAACUGAAACACGGUCCAGACUCCUACGGGAGGCAGCAGUGGGGAAUCUUGCGCAAUGGACGGAAGUCUGACGCAGCCACGCCGCGUGAGUGAAGAAGGCCUUCGGGUUGUAAAGCUCUGUCGCCCGGGACGAACAGCUUGUGGGUGAAUAGCCCAUGAGUCUGACGGUACUGGGAAAGGAAGCACCGGCUAACUCCGUGCCAGCAGCCGCCGUAA
rnacentral:rRNA from 1 species